CGAACUGCAGCUUAGCUCAUGGGGACACCGCCACUGGCAAACAAAGAGGAGGCAGUUCGCUAUAAAUUCAGAGUGCUGCCGUAAAAGUGGGAUCAUCGGUUGAAACUACGCUAGCCCGGAUGUUACGCAAAGAAUAGAACUCAGUAUAUUCAUAAAACUUACGAAGCUAUCGAGGGAACCGGUCUGGUCGUGUGUAUCCAUAGAAGACUUAUCCGCUAGAAGAGUACGACAGAGAUACAGAGAUAUACAGGGAUGGCCAAGUUUUGAUCGAAUGGUGAAAAACACAAUUAUUAUUCUUAGUACGUUACGGCAUAUUUCGUUUAUAUUGAUAAUGAGCACAUAUGUUUUAAUUAGAAUAAAAACUAUGCAAAUAACAUAUGUCCACCACUCAAUUAUUAAAUUAUACAUUUUAUUAUGUCAGCGAAUGUUUUUUUAAUGAUAAAGAGUAAUUUUUACACAUUUUCCGGCAAUGCUUUUUACAGAUAAUGGGUAAAAAAUACUCGCUGGCUUGACGUAUGAGUUGAUUACUCAUUAAUGAGUAAACGCUGUUUACUCUUUUAAUGAGUUGAACUAUUUAACUUCAUAAUGGGUACUAUUUUACCCAUGAAAGAGUACUUUGUUGGCUCAUCCAAAAGAUAUUUUAGUUACUAGAUAAAGAUUGUCGCUGUCGUCGCUGUCCGGAACAUCUUUUGCUGGCGAGGAUAGGGGAGCUAAAUGUCAAAGAAGGAAAAUCCAUACGAUUUGACAGGUAUGUACCACACAUGUUUCGGACAGCAGAACAAAGGGAACCGAAGCGACAAUCUUUAUUUAGUAACUAAAAUAUCUUUUGCACAUCCGCACCACCAGAUUUUUAGUAAACCGCUCAAACGUCAUUGCGUUCUUUCGGUGCUCACCGUCACCGUUGAGUAAAACCAAAAUGAGCAUAUAAUGAAUUUGGCGUGUAGAAAAUAUCGGGCAUCUUUGUUUCUACAUUUUAACGACCGAUUGAUCCAUGACUCGACUCCGAUACAUCAGUCCACGGCGGUGAAAAAGGCAAAAAGAUUGGCGUUCGUGAAUAUUUUAUAAGUUUGUUUCGGAUUUAGUGGUAUUUUGCAAAAUAUCAUUUAAAGUCUAAGGUAAAUCUGUGUAUCAUCUUUGCGAACCACGCCUAUAUAAGCUUGCACGUUGAAAAUGAGUUCCACCGAGUUUAAUAUUGGCCUUACUAGCAGUGCCAAGACAUCUAGCCGCGUUUUGAAGCCUCCAGGUGGAGGUCAUUCUGAUAUAUUUGGAUCACCGGAGCUGAAGGCUAACCCUCCACGCCCAAAGUACAAUCAGCAGAAUUCUUCCAACAUGAAUGGCGUCAUGGGAACAACGGAUCCAAACUUGAAAGUCGAUCAGGUUCCAGCAGCACCGGAUAAUAGGUCCGAAGCACCAGCAGCAGCUUUUCAAGAAAAGCCUGCUCUGGCUUCCGGUGGCAGUGAACCAUCUUCCCAGGAUUCCCAAGGUGGAAACCGCGCACGAGUGCCUCCUGGAGGUUUCUCUUCCGGUCUCUGGUGAAUUAGGACAGCGGGCAGUUCUCAGGGAUGAAACCGAAGCACACUUUUUCGUAUUACCUAAUAAUUGCAGUUUACAUGACCAAAGAGUACUGAGGUAUCUGAAAAUACUCUCCUCCGAUCGGUAUUCCUUGGUAUGACCAAGUCAACUUUUUACUCCCUUUAUCUUUGAUCUCGUCAAAUGCAUUUAUGACAAAAACGUACUUACUGCGUGUAGUAUUCAGAGUGUAUGUUGGGUCAUUGUACUAAACUACAGUUGGUUAUAACCAUACGCAGUUCGUGUACCUUUGUGCUAUAGGUUUUUGAAUGUUGGAAAACAUAUAGGUACAAUAAUUUAACAUAAGUUUUGAGUAAUGCAUCAAGCUUGAACUUGCUAAUAAAACACAAAACAGAUACGAGACAAAAA